AUUGUUUUUGUUGUUAUGGGCCAAUUUUGCCUAGGCAAAAAACAAACAAAAAUAAAAAACCCAAUACAAACCCAACAAGCCUAAAACUUUUACAAGCCCAAACCAAACUAAAACCUAGCCCCACAAGCCCACAACAUUAACAUUUUUGACAGAAAGGAGCAGAAACCCUAAGGCAUGCCGUGUGCCAGGACCACCAGCGUAUCAC
rnacentral:lncRNA from 1 species